rnacentral:rRNA from 1 species
CCUACGGGAGGCAGCAGUGGGGGAUAUUGGACAAUGGGGGGAACCCUGAUCCAGCGACGCCGCGUGAGUGAAGAAGUAUCGCGGUAUGUAAAGCUCUAUCAGCAGGGAAGAAGAAAGGACGGUACCUGAGUAAGAAGCCGAGGCUAACUAAGUGCCAGCAGCCGCGGUAAUACGUAGGGGGCAAGCGUUAUGCGGAAUUACUGGGGGUAAAGGGAGCGUAGACGGUGAUGUAAGUCUGGAGUGAAAGGCGGGGGCCCAACCCCCGGACUGCUCUGGAAACUCUGUGACUGGAGUGCAGGAGCGGUGAGCGGCAUUCCUCUUGUAGCGGUGACAUGCGUAGAUAUUAGGAGGAACACCAGUGGCGAAGGCGGCUCACUGGACUGUAACUGACGUUGCGGCUCGAAAGCGUGGGGAGCAAACAGGAUUAGAUACCCGGGUAGUC